rnacentral:rRNA from 1 species
AGUGAACGCUGGCGGUAGGCCUAACACAUGCAAGUCGAACGGCAGCACAGUAAGAGCUUGCUCUUACGGGUGGCGAGUGGCGGACGGGUGAGGAAUACAUCGGAAUCUACUUUUUCGUGGGGGAUAACGUAGGGAAACUUACGCUAAUACCGCAUACGACCUACGGGUGAAAGCAGGGGAUCUUCGGACCUUGCGCGAUUGAAUGAGCCGAUGUCGGAUUAGCUAGUUGGCGGGGUAAAGGCCCACCAAGGCGACGAUCCGUAGCUGGUCUGAGAGGAUGAUCAGCCACACUGGAACUGAGACACGGUCCAGACUCCUACGGGAGGCAGCAGUGGGGAAUAUUGGACAAUGGGCGCAAGCCUGAUCCAGCCAUACCGCGUGGGUGAAGAAGGCCUUCGGGUUGUAAAGCCCUUUUGUUGGGAAAGAAAAGCAGCAGGUUAAUACCCCGCUGUCCUGACGGUACCCAAAGAAUAAGCACCGGCUAACUUCG